rnacentral:rRNA from 1 species
UAACGCGUGGGUAACCUGCCUUGUACAGGGGGAUAACAGUUGGAAACGGCUGCUAAUACCGCAUAAGCGCACAGCAUCGCAUGAUGCAGUGUGAAAAACUCCGGUGGUAUAAGAUGGCCUCGCGUCCGAUUAGCUGGUUGGUGAGGUAAUGGCCCACCAAGGCGACGAUCGGUAGCCGGACUGAGAGGUUGAACGGCCACAUUGGGACUGAGACACGGCCCAG